AACAAGGUUUCCGUAGGUGAACCUGCGGAAGGAUCAUUACCGAGUUCCGGGCCCCAGUGGCCCGCUCUCCAACCAUUUUAAAACCCUAGUCAGUAAACUGUACCGUCUGAUCAGAUAUUCAAAUAUCAUUAAAACUUUCAACAACGGAUCUCUUGGUUCUGGCAUCGAUGAAGAACGCAGCGAAAUGCGAUAAGUAAUGUGAAUUGCAGAAUUCAGUGAAUCAUCGAAUCUUUGAACGCACAUUGCGCCCCUUGGUAUUCCGGGGGGCAUGCCUGUUCGAGCGUCAUUACAACCCUCAAGCUCAGCUUGGUAUUGGGCGUCGUCCUCCCGCGGACGUGCCUCGAACGCCUCGGCGGCGGCUUCCCAGCCUCAAGCGUAGUAGCACAACUCUCGCUUUGGAGGGUGGGAGCCCGCCCGCCGGACGAACCUCUGUGGAAGGGUAACACCUUCCGCACACUUUCUCAAAGGUUGACCUCGGAUCAGGUAGGGAUACCCGCUGAACUUAAGCAUAUCAAUAAGCGGAGGA
rnacentral:rRNA from 1 species